UACAGAGGGUGCAAGCGUUGUUCGGAAUUAUUGGGCGUAAAGGGCGCGUAGGCGGCAUGGCAAGUGGAUGGUGAAAUCCCUCGGCUUAACCGAGGAACUGCCGUCCAAACUGCUUCGCUUGAGACCGGGAGAGGUGAGUGGAAUUCCCAGUGUAGCGGUGAAAUGCGUAGAUAUUGGGAGGAACACCAGUGGCGAAGGCGGCUCACUGGACCGGUACUGACGCUGAAGCGCGAAAGCGUGGGGAGCAAACGGG
rnacentral:rRNA from 1 species